GACAACACUAUCUUAUCUACAAACUACAAAUACCUAUCCUGUUGCAGUUGCAUGCAUGAAUAAUACUGGAAAAAAUGUAUUACUUUCCAUACCCCAUCCCCUCACCGUGGUACAGAGAGUACAGUACACAUGCAUGCAUAGAGAGACUAAUUGCUUUAGGAAAUGAUGCACAAAACAGUUCACUUGCUAAAGGAAACACUGCACAAAUAAUUGAUUUUGGACUGGCAUAGUGACUUGUUUGUUACAAAUUAAGUACCUUUUUCACAGUUUUUACACACUCGUACAUAUAAUCUAACCCGUGUAAUUAUAUAUGUACCUACAUACAUAUAAAACUAAAUAAUGAUUAAAAUACGUCUCAUCAUGUCACGAUAACUUUUAUUGAGGAACUAUUUGCUGACAUAAAUCACUGGCCGACCAACAAAUUUUACGAGACUAAUAUGUUCAUAUUUAAUGUAAUCAAAUGAAGGUUUACUACCAAAAAAAAUCAGGUGGAGUCACAUAUUUAAUCCGUCCUUGUUUUAACUUUGUAAUGAUUUCCAACCGAAUCGGUUAUAAUUUUUCGUUGCCGUGACAUUACUAAACGGUACUGUUCGUUAUUAUACCGGUAUUGGCACAUUCAUAUGUACAUACAGAACUAUACUCCAAUAAUUAAUUAUUCCAGAUAAUUCGACACCAGUUUUCUUAGAGUAUGGGAUUGUAGGUCAAGGGUUUCUUAUCCUCCACCUGCUCUAUUUACGGUCAUUAUGUACGUACGUAUGUACAUAUACAUAAAGGAAACUUUCGUUAAAUGAGGCAUCCCUCCCAAUAAAGGGAACUAGUAUAAACUAGAUUCCGCUAGGAUUUUACUGAUUGUAUGUAUGUAUAUAAAUUUAGGUAUGUAGUUUUAUGUAGUCUCCAUGUGAAGACGAAAAUUAUUUAACUUAUCAAAAUAUUUAUGUACAUAUGAUUUUUAUAGGUAGGUACGUUUUUAUUUAACUGAGUAUGAUUUUUAUAAAGAUGUCUCUAUUUACUUACCCGCAUUAAAGUUAUGUAUGCCGAUAAUCAAAAGAUAAAUUACAAAUAUUUUACAAAUUGAGUGGUCCACUUUUUCCAUUCAGGGUAUUUCCAUCCAGACCAUACAAUAAAAUCAACUCGCUUUCCUCUUCCAUCAUAAAUAAAUAAAUACGAGCGAUGUCAACGUCAACUUUUUACCAAGCGAAGACCAGACAUGCAUUUACGUAACAGUCUGACAACAUUUUACGUAAGGAGACUACUUUUUUUCAUAGUUAUAUAUGUCAAUAAAUACAUGCAUAGAUGCGCCGGCUGAGGAGGCUGACAAAGGACGUUAGGUGUACGUGACUGAUUCCAGUCUCAAAGAUGCAAAAAUCCUGAUUAACAAUUCGCAGAAGAAACCAGAAACUUUCCUGGUUUGGAACUACUUCCCUAUUACAUUAAUCACUCUGUCAGUCGUCAAUACGUUGAUUAAUGUAAAUGCAUAUGUGUAUUUGCUUGCGCAUGUAAAUAUAAAAAACUGCAAUUUAUUCGUGGAAAUUUCUUGCAUGUCUGGUUCGGUUUGGGUACCUGAUCCUCAGCGAAAAUACACCAUGGAUAAAUAAAUUUGCAAUAUAAAUUCAUUGUUUCCUCUACUACUGGAUGAUCAGAUGUAUUUAAAUAAUUGAUAUGAUAUACAUAUGUAGAUACGAGUAUGUAAAUAAAUAUAUCUAGUCACGAAAUGUAUGUAUUGACAAUGGACGUACGUAAAUAAAUAUGUACAUAUUUGUCUCAAGAAAAAUUCAGAGUUAAUUAAAAGUUGAAGUAUUUAUGGCAGAUUUGAGGCCACAUCUUCCUGGGAAUUUCCUUAUCGAUCGUAAAUGAUUUUUAGUAAUCAAUUUUCCCCCUGUGUCGCAUUCGAUCAAAAGAUUUGUAAUACUUGUAGUUUGAUAUGUACAUAUAUACAUUCAUACAUGUGUAAAUACAUAUGUAAAUGACUAAUAAUUCCACUU